rnacentral:rRNA from 1 species
CCUACGGGGGGCUGCAGUGGGGAAUAUUGGACAAUGGGGGGAACCCUGAUGCAGCAAUGCCGCGUGUGUGAAGAAGGCCUUCGGGUUGUAAAGCACUUUCCGUGAGGAAGAACGCCUGGUGGUUAAUACGCAUAAGCAAAGACAUCACUCACACAAGAAGCACCGGCUAACUCCGUGCCAGCAGCCGCGGUAAUACGGAGGGUGCGGGCGUUAAUCGGAAUUACUGGGCGUAAAGCGCGCGUAGGUGGCUGGAUAAGCCGGUUGUGAAAGCCCCGGGCUCAACCUGGGAACGGCAGCCGGAACUGUGAAGCUAGAGUGCAGGAGAGGAAGGUAGAAUUCCCGGUGUAGCGGUGAAAUGCGUAGAGAGCGGGAGGAAUACCAGUGGUGAAGGCGGCCUUCUGGACUGACACUGACACUGAGGUGCGAAAGCGUGGGUAGCAAACAGGAUUAGAUACCCUAGUAGUC